rnacentral:rRNA from 1 species
GACGAACGCUGGCGGCGUGCCUCAUACAUGCAAGUCGAACGCAGUGGGGACGGGUGAGUAACACGUGGGUAACCUCCCAUCAGAGGGGAUAACACUUGGAAACAGGUGCUAAACCGAUACUGAUGGAUGGACCCGCGGUGCAUUAGCUAGUUGGUGAGGUAACGUCUCACCAAGGCCACGAUGCAUAGCCGACCUGAGGGCGUGAUCGGCCACACUGGGACGGCGACACGGCCCAGUCCCCUACGGGAGGGAGCAGUAGGGAAGCGUCGGCAAUGGACGAAAGUCUGACCGAGCAACGCCGGGUGAGUGAAGAAGGUGUAGGGAUCGUAAAAUUCUGGUGUUAGAGAAGCGGUAUCUAACCAGAAAGCCACGGCUAACUCCGUGCGAGCAGCCGCGGUAAUAC